UCGGCGUCUCGGACAGGAUGAAGUGCGGCGCCUUGGCCGCGCCGUCGCGCCAGUUCUGCUCGGUGAUGCCGAA
rnacentral:tRNA from 1 species